AAUGGCUCUUCUCGCAACAUUAUCGUUUAUAUUUGGAUUCCUCUACACUACACUUGGUCAGUAUAAUUUAACAAGUUCCAACCCGGCAGCAAUACUUGGAAAAACGUUCACGUGGAAAUGUUCAAUGUUUCUACCACAGGGACAAACAAUAAAAGCUGUUACUUUCUUCCGAAACAA